rnacentral:rRNA from 1 species
AUGUUGCCGGCGGCGGCGGUGGCGGCGCUGCCGCUGGACGACGACAACGUGCUCUCCGAGAUCCUCCUCCGCCUCCCGCCGCUCCCGUCCUCCCUCCCCCGCGCCUCCGCCGUCUGCAGGCGCUGGCGCAGCCUCGCCUCCGACCCAGCCUUCUCCCGCCGCUUCCGCCUCCACCACCGCCGCAACCCUCCCCUCCUCGGUUACUUCUACGAAGAUUUUAACCAGAUUCGCUUCGAGCCUACUCUGGAGGCCCCCAAUCGUGUUCCACCCGAGCGCCUCUGCUUGCACUUUAACUCCCACUUCCGAUUGCUCGGGUGCCGCCCCAGCUCCUGCUGUGUGACCCCAUCACCGGCCACCAGCACUGCAUAG